UACGUAGGGUGCGAGCGUUAAUCGGAAUUACUGGGCGUAAAGGGUGCGCAGGCGGUUUCGCAUGUCGGGCGUGAAAUCCCCGGGCUUAACCUGGGAAUGGCGUCCGAAACUAUGGGACUGGAGUGUGGCAGAGGGAGGUGGAAUUCCACGUGUAGCGGUGAAAUGCGUAGAGAUGUGGAGGAACACCGAUGGCGAAGGCAGCCUCCUGGGCCAACACUGACGCUCAUGCACGAAAGCGUGGGGAGCAAACAGG
rnacentral:rRNA from 1 species